CAGAAUCCAAAUGAAUGCUAAUGUUGCCUCUUGUCUGCUGGAUGUGUAAUAAUAAUUUGCCAUUUAAACUGUAUUGCUGCACCAGAGUGGUCAAAAAAUUAACUGAUGGAGGUUCUGUACUCAAGAAUCAGAAUCUUAAUAUAGCAGCGAAUAAAAUUUGCUAUGUAGUGGAGUAAUGUUAGCGCACGUGGCCAUGACAAAAGGAUGGUAUUCCACGAAUUGGGGAACGGUCUGUGAGAGCCGUGUGGAGGCAUUCCAGCAUGCUUUUCU